rnacentral:tRNA from 1 species
GGUUUUGUGGUGUAAUGUAACACAUUAGGUUGCAAACCUAAUAAUAUAUUUAGUAUAAUAUUAAAGCUU